CAAUGGCAUUUACAGAGGGAAGCGAGACAGUGAUGUGGAGCGGACCCCUUAAAGAAUGUCGUAGUCCGGAUUGGAGUCUGCAACUCGACUCCAUGAAGUCGGAAUCGCUAGUAAUCGCAGGUCAGAAUACUGCGGUGAAUACGUUCCCGGGCCUUGUACACACCGCCCGUCACACCAUGGGAGUGGGAUGCAAAAGAAGUAGUUAGUCUAACCUUCGGGAGGACGAUUACCACUUUGUGUUUCAUGACUGGGGUGAAGUCGUAACAAGGUAGCCGUAUCGGAAGGUGCGGCUGGAUCACCUCCU
rnacentral:rRNA from 17 species